GCCCGCUUGCCAGGAGCUCCCUGUGUGCCAGGAGCCCGGCCCAGCUGAGCAGCACAGCAAGAGCCAAAGGUAGCCCUUUCUCUGCCCCUCUGGGUUCCCCGCAGGUGUCCCUGGGGCUCCAGGGGAACCUGCUGUGGAACAGGCUGAACAAAACAAUGAUGUUCCCUCUUCUCCCCUCUUCAGUGACACUUCUUUCCAGCAGUGACAUUUCUCCCCUUAGAAAAUUAACAGGGUCUGACAGCUGUGUCACGGUGACACGGGGGGCAUCGUAGAACCAAACAAACCCUGAGACAUUUCAGAAUCCCACGUGUUGGGUCUGUCUGAGCUGGAGUUCAUUUUCUCACUGCAGCCAUCACAGUGCUGUGCUUUGCAUUGGGAGCUACAAAGGGGUUAAUCACACCAGUGCUUUGGCAACUGCUGAGCAGGGCUGGCACAGCAUCUGCAUUGUCAGCUUCCUCCCUUGAAUCGGAGGCAAGCUCAUGAGAGGGGAUACAGGCAGACCACUUAAGCCAAAUGGACCAAAGAGACAUCGCUACAAAAGCUCAGGAAAGGAACAGGAAAGGGGGAAAUCCAUUUUUUUACAAUAUAUGCCUUCUGAGCGGCCUCUCUGUGUGGUGAAGCCCUGCUUCCUGUGAAGUGGCCAGGCAUGGCUGCUGAAGGGAAGUAGAGAAUAAAUCUCUUUAUUUUCCUCUUCACUUAUGCAUGCACAAGCUUUGGCUUUUGCUUUAGUAAAGUGCCUGAUCUCAAGGUAGAAGUCAUUUUCCAUCUUCUUCUGUCUCUCCUGUCUGGCUGGGAAGGGCAGCGAUAGAGCAGUUUGGUGGGUACCUGGCAUCCAGACAAUGUCAACCCAGUGCAACAUGGCAGGGUCUCAUGGAACCAAAGGACUGCUGGGACACUGGGGGAACUCACAGAAUCAAGCGACCGUCAUGACACUGCCCUGCAUCACGGAAGUAAAUAUUCCCUGGGAAAGUACAGAAACCCAGGGAAUUAAGGGACAUCAUUGGGAUGUGCGGGACCUCAUGGAAUUAAACAAACCCUGGGAUAUAUUUGGAACUUCAUGGAAUCAAAGGGAUAAAACCAAAGAAUUAAACCCAAUGACCAGAAACCAUUGGUUUGAAUAUUUCUUUAAUAUGCCAGCUGGGGAUUCAGGGGGGUACUCUGCCAUGCAUGAAUCAAAGAAUCAGUAUAAAUUUUGGAAUAUAAAUACAGUGAUACUUGAAAGACCCCCCUUCACAAGCAGUCCAUACUUAAGAUUUUGGGGUCAAAUAGCAUCUGGGAUUGUAUUCGUGGAGCAAGACUGCCAUCUAGCGUCCAUUUCUUCGGGGGGGGCAGUCAUUUUCGCAGAGUGGUCUUGCUUAGCAGGCCUCGUAGCAUCUCUGAUUGAUCUAUCCGACCUCUAACCCCAAACCUAAAUGUUCUAGGACCAGCUAAGACAUGUGUGUUAGAACUUCCCAUUUGCUUAAACAAUGUAUAAUUGACUUUCUUCUUAACAGAACAAUCUCUUAUUAAACAAGUUUUCUGAGGCAA